rnacentral:tRNA from 1 species
GGGUAUAGCUCAGUGGUAGAGCACAUGCUUAGCAUGCACAAGAUCCUGGGUUCAAUCCCCAACACCUCCA